rnacentral:piRNA from 1 species
GCUACCACUUCGGAGGCAAGCUCACAAA